GAUGAACGCUAGCGGCAGGCCUAAUACAUGCAAGUCGAACGGGAUCUGAGGGUAGCUUGCUACCCGAUUUGAGAGUGGCGCACGGGUGCGUAACGCGUGAGCAACCUACCCAUAUCAGGGGGAUAGCCCGAAGAAAUUCGGAUUAACACCGCAUAAUAAUACGCUAACACAUGUUAAUGUAUUUAAAUAUUUAUAGGAUAUGGAUGGGCUCGCGUGACAUUAGCUAGUUGGUAAGGUAACGGCUCACCAAGGCGACGAUGUCUAGGGGCUCUGAGAGGGGAAACCUACACACUGGUACUGAGACACGGACCAGACUCCUACGGGAGGCAGCAGUAAAGAAUAUUGGUCAAUGGGCGCAAGCCUGAACCAGCCAUUCCGCGUGCAGGAUGACUGCCCUAUGGGUUGUAAACUGCUUUUGUUAGGGAAUAAACCUACUUAUGUAUAAGUAGCUGAAUGUACCUAAAGAAUAAGGAUCGGCUAACUCCGUGCCAGCCGCCGCAGUAA
rnacentral:rRNA from 1 species